rnacentral:rRNA from 1 species
AGACGGAGGGGGCUAGCGUUGUUCGGAAUUACUGGGCGUAAAGGGCGCGUAGGCGGCUUGUCAAGUUGGAGGUGAAAGCCCGGGGCUCAACCCCGGAACUGCCUUCAAGACUGGCAGGCUAGAGUUCGGGAGAGGAGAGUGGAAUUCCCAGUGUAGAGGUGAAAUUCGUAGAUAUUGGGAGGAACACCGGUUGCGAAGGCGGCUCUCUGGUCCGAUACUGACGCUGAGGCGCGAAAGCGUGGGGAGCAAACAGGAUUAGAUACCCCAGUAGUCC